UACGGAGGAUCCGAGCGUUAUCCGGAUUUAUUGGGUUUAAAGGGUGCGCAGGCGGGGGAUUAAGUCGGCGGUGAAAUUUUGAAGCUCAACUGUAAAAGUGCCUUCGAAACUGGUUUCCUUGAGUGUAGAUGAAGUAGGCGGAAUUUGUGGUGUAGCGGUGAAAUGCAUAGAUAUCACGAGGAACUCCGAUUGCGCAGGCAGCUUACUAAACUACUACUGACGCUCAGGCACGAAGGCGUGGGGAUCAAACAGGAUUAGAUACCCUGGUAGUCCCU
rnacentral:rRNA from 1 species